AGUGAACGCUGGCGGCAGGCCUAACACAUGCAAGUCGAACGGCCGCACAGUAAGAUCUUGCUCUUACGGGUGGCGAGUGGCGGACGGGUGAGGCAUAGAUCGGAAACUACUUUUUCGUGGGUGAUAACGUAGGGAAACUUCCGCUAAUACCGCAUACUUCCUACGGGUGAAUGCAGGGGAUCUUCGGACCUUGCGUGAUUGAAUGAGCCGAUGCCGGAUUAGCUAGUUGGCGUGGUAAAGGCCCACCAAGGCGACGAUCCGUAGCUGGUCUGAGAGGAUGAUCAGCCACACUGGAACUGAGACACGGUCCAGACUCCUACGGGAGGCAGCAGUGGGGAAUAUUGGACAAUGGGCGAAAGCCUGAUCCAGCCAUACCGCGUGAGUGAUGAAGGCCUUCGGGUUGUAAAGCGCUUUUGUUGGGAAAGAAAAGCAGCAGGUUUAUACCCCGCUGUUCUGACGGUACCCAAAGAAUAAGCACCGGCUAACUUCGUG
rnacentral:rRNA from 1 species